ensembl:lncRNA
GUUUUGUUUGCUUCACUCUGUUUGAGAUUUGAAAGGUCUUUUAACAUAGUUAAAGUCUACAAUAAACAGAUAUAUGAAAGAAAAGCAUUCCUUUUCUCUUGUGUCUGGUAGAUGUGCAGUUAUUUCUGGACUAGAAAAAUCAGGAAGGUAUCCAGCUGACUCAAAGGGAGCUGAAAUUUCAUCUUAUCCAUCAGCAAUGCAACAGUAUGGAUGUUAUGAAUAAUUCACAGAUGACUUCCUCAAGUCUUGGAGUUUACUUUGUCAGAGCCUUUUUUUUUUUUUUCCAAUUCUAAUUUCUCUGUUAAAUAACAGGCUUUUAACAACUUGUUUUUUGUUGUAACAUAUGUGAAAACAUUUGUCUUUCAAG